rnacentral:rRNA from 1 species
CGGCGGCGGUCAGGAGAAGGUGUAGCCCUAGGGAGAACUAGGAAGAGGUGGGUUGGUCUAGCGUCAACGGUGGCGAGGAGGAGUUAUAUCGGUAGGUUGGUCGGGGAAGUUUGGUGGUGCGGCCGUCGAAGGGGCAAAACGAAGUGUCGCCGGCGAGCCCGUGGCCCGGGGCGAGGGGACCUAGGGGAGCGUCGGUUCGGUGGUUAGUCAGCCGCGAGGGUUCGGGUUCGAGGACUCGUGGAGUACGAGCAGGAGGAGCGGACUCGGAGGAAGGUCCCGUCGUUUCCUGGCUUGGUCGUGUCGGCGCGAACUCGCGAGGGCUCCGGCUCGAGGAGGUUACGGCGCGGCGGGGCCACUUGGACGGUCGGCCGCUGGGGCAGGAGUCCGGCCGGGGUAGUGCGGUGGAGAAGGAAGGGAAGGAGGAGACCAAGAAGAAGGAGAGUGAGGGAGGUGGAGAGACAAAAGAGAGUAUCCCUCUUGUGCUACGCGGCCGGAGGUACCUAAAGCGUGACCUCAUGGGCUGGCGCGGAGUAAGGACCUACGUCCUCGUGCUCGAGGGAGGAGGAGCAACGUGCGGAGCGAGCGGCUCGGCAGCUCGGCGGGCUCAUGGAGGAGGUCAAGCAUCGGGACCGGUGGCUUCGAGAGUGGCGGCUGCUCGGAACGGUUAGGGGGGCGGUCCAGUUGGCGAGGGGCAGCGAGGAGAAGGAGCGGACAGAGAGAGAGGGACUGGGAGAGAGACGGGAACCUGUCCGUGGCGACGGCCUCACGGCAUGGAGCAGCGGG